GACGAACGCUGGCGGCGUGCUUAACACAUGCAAGUCGAACGGAAAGGCCCUGCUUUUGUGGGGUGCUCGAGUGGCGAACGGGUGAGUAACACGUGAGUAACCUGCCCUUGACUUUGGGAUAACUUCAGGAAACUGGGGCUAAUACCGGAUAGGAGCUCCUGCUGCAUGGUGGGGGUUGGAAAGUUUCGGCGGUUGGGGAUGGACUCGCGGCUUAUCAGCUUGUUGGUGGGGUAGUGGCUUACCAAGGCUUUGACGGGUAGCCGGCCUGAGAGGGUGACCGGCCACAUGGGGACUGAGAUACGGACCAGACUCGUACGGGAGGCAGCAGUGGGGAAUAUUGCACAAUGGGCGGAAGCCUGAGGCAGCAACGCCGCGUGCGGGAUGACGGCCUUCGGGUUGUAAACCGCUUUCGCCUGAGACGAAGCGUGAGUGACGGUAAUGAGUAAAGAAGCACCGGCUAACUACGUG
rnacentral:rRNA from 1 species